CCCUACGGGGUGCAGCAGGCGAGAAAACUUUGCAAUGUGCGAAAGCACGACAAGGUUAAUCCGAGUGGUUUCUGCUAAAGAAACCUUUUGUCAGUCCUAGAAACACUGAUGAAUAAGGGGUGGGCAAGUUCUGGUGUCAGCCGCCGCGGUAAAACCAGCACCUCAAGUGGUCAGGAUGAUUAUUGGGCCUAAAGCAUCCGUAGCCGGCUCUGUAAGUUUUCGGUUAAAUCUGUACGCUCAACGUACAGGCUGCCGGGAAUACUGCAGAGCUAGGGAGUGGGAGAGGUAGACGGUACUCGGUAGGAAGGGGUAAAAUCCUUUGAUCUAUUGAUGACCACCUGUGGCGAAGGCGGUCUACCAGAACACGUCCGACGGUGAGGGAUGAAAGCUGGGGGAGCAAACCGGAUUAGAUACCCGGGUAGUCCCAGCUGUAAACUAUGCAAACUCAGUGAUGCAUUGGCUUGUGGCCAAUGCAGUGCUGCAGGGAAGCCGUUAAGUUUGCCGCCUGGGAAGUACGUACGCAAGUAUGAAACUUAAAGGAAUUGGCGGGGGAGCACCACAAGGGGUGAAGCCUGCGGUUCAAUUGGAGUCAACGCCAGAAAUCUUACCCGGAGAGACAGCAGAAUGAAGGUCAAGCUGAAGACUUUACCAGACAAGCUGAGAAGAGGUGCAUGGCC
rnacentral:rRNA from 1 species